CCUACGGGGGGCUGCAGUGGGGAAUAUUGGUCAAUGGGCGAAAGCCUGAACCAGCAAUACCGCGUGAGUGAUGAAGGCCUUCGGGUUGUAAAGCUCUGUCAGUGGGAACGAAAAAAAUGACGGUACCCACAAAGGAAGCACCGGCUAACUCUGUGCCAGCAGCCGCGGUAAUACAGAGGGUGCAAGCGUUGUUCGAAAUUACUGGGCGUAAAGAGCGUGUAGGCGGUUAGAUAAGUCAGACGUGAAAUCCCUUGGCUCAACCAAGGAACUGCGUUUGAAACUGUUUGACUAGAGUAUCGGAGGGGAUGGCGGAAUUCCUGGUGUAGAGGUGAAAUUCGUAGAUAUCAGGAGGAACACCCGUGGCGAAGGCGGCCAUCUGGAAGAUUACUGACGCUGAGACGCGAAAGCGUGGGGAGCAAACAGGAUUAGAUACCCCAGUAGUC
rnacentral:rRNA from 1 species